rnacentral:rRNA from 1 species
AAUGGGUCAGCGACUUAUAUUCUGUAGCAAGGUUAACCGAAUAGGGGAGCCGAAGGGAAACCGAGUCUUAACUGGGCGUUAAGUUGCAGGGUAUAGACCCGAAACCCGGUGAUCUAGCCAUGGGCAGGUUGAAGGUUGGGUAACACUAACUGGAGGACCGAACCGACUAAUGUUGAAAAAUUAGCGGAUGACUUGUGGCUGGGGGUGAAAGGCCAAUCAAACCGGGAGAUAGCUGGUUCUCCCCGAAAGCUAUUUAGGUAGCGCCUCGUGAAUUCAUCUCCGGGGGUAGAGCACUGUUUCGGCAAGGGGGUCAUCCCGACUUACCAACCCGAUGCAAACUGCGAAUACCGGAGAAUGUUAUCACGGGAGACACACGGCGGGUGCUAACGUCCGUCGUGAAGAGGGAAACAACCCAGACCGCCAGCUAAGGUCCCAAAGUCAUGGUUAAGUGGGAAACGAUGUGGGAAGGCCCAGACAGCCAGGAUGUUGGCUUAGAAGCAGCCAUCAUUUAAAGAAAGCGUAAUAGCUCACUGGUCGAGUCGGCCUGCGCGGAAGAUGUAACGGGGCUAAACCAUGCACCGAAGCUGCGGCAGCGACGCUGAUGCGUUGUUGGGUAGGGGAGCGUUCUGUAAGCCUGUGAAGGUGUGCUGUGAGGCAUGCUGGAGGUAUCAGAAGUGCGAAUGCUGACAUAAGUAACGAUAAAGCGGGUGAAAAGCCCGCUCGCCGGAAGACCAAGGGUUCCUGUCCAACGUUAAUCGGGGCAGGGUGAGUCGACCCCUAAGGCGAGGCCGAAAGGCGUAGUCGAUGGGAAACAGGUUAAUAUUCCUGUACUUGGUGUUACUGCGAAGGGGGGACGGAGAAGGCUAUGUUGGCCGGGCGACGGUUGUCCCGGUUUAAGCGUGUAGGCUGGUUUUCCAGGCAAAUCCGGAAAAUCAAGGCUGAGGCGUGAUGACGAGGCACUACGGUGCUGAAGCAACAAAUGCCCUGCUUCCAGGAAAAGCCUCUAAGCAUCAGGUAACAUCAAAUCGUACCCCAAACCGACACAGGUGGUCAGGUAGAGAAUACCAAGGCGCUUGAGAGAACUCGGGUGAAGGAACUAGGCAAAAUGGUGCCGUAACUUCGGGAGAAGGCACGCUGAUAUGUAGGUGAAGUCCCUUGCGGAUGGAGCUGAAAUCAGUCGAAGAUACCAGCUGGCUGCAACUGUUUAUUAAAAACACAGCACUGUGCAAACACGAAAGUGGACGUAUACGGUGUGACGCCUGCCCGGUGCCGGAAGGUUAAUUGAUGGGGUCAGCGCAAGCGAAGCUCUUGAUCGAAGCCCCGGUAAACGGCGGCCGUAACUAUAACGGUCCUAAGGUAGCGAAAUUCCUUGUCGGGUAAGUUCCGACCUGCACGAAUGGCGUAAUGAUGGCCAGGCUGUCUCCACCCGAGACUCAGUGAAAUUGAACUCGCUGUGAAGAUGCAGUGUACCCGCGGCAAGACGGAAAGACCCCGUGAACCUUUACUAUAGCUUGACACUGAACAUUGAGCCUUGAUGUGUAGGAUAGGUGGGAGGCUUAGAAGUGUGGACGCCAGUCUGCAUGGAGCCGACCUUGAAAUACCACCCUUUAAUGUUUGAUGUUCUAACGUGGACCCGUAAUCCGGGUUGCGGACAGUGUCUGGUGGGUAGUUUGACUGGGGCGGUCUCCUCCUAAAGAGUAACGGAGGAGCACGAAGGUUGGCUAAUCCUGGUCGGACAUCAGGAGGUUAGUGCAAUGGCAUAAGCCAGCUUGACUGCGAGCGUGACGGCGCGAGCAGGUGCGAAAGCAGGUCAUAGUGAUCCGGUGGUUCUGAAUGGAAGGGCCAUCGCUCAACGGAUAAAAGGUACUCCGGGGAUAACAGGCUGAUACCGCCCAAGAGUUCAUAUCGACGGCGGUGUUUGGCACCUCGAUGUCGGCUCAUCACAUCCUGGGGCUGAAGUAGGUCCCAAGGGUAUGGCUGUUCGCCAUUUAAAGUGGUACGCGAGCUGGGUUUAGAACGUCGUGAGACAGUUCGGUCCCUAUCUGCCGUGGGCGCUGGAGAACUGAGGGGGGCUGCUCCUAGUACGAGAGGACCGGAGUGGACGCAUCACUGGUGUUCGGGUUGUCAUGCCAAUGGCACUGCCCGGUAGCUAAAUGCGGAAGAGAUAAGUGCUGAAAGCAUCUAAGCACGAAACUUGCC